rnacentral:lncRNA from 10 species
UGCUUUCAGGAGAAGGUUGUAACAUAUUCCUGGCUGAGUAUUAAAGUGAUGUGACACUCCUGUCUGGUCCCUGCCCUCAGGAAAGAUUGUGAUGUAUUCUUGGCCAAAAACCCAGGUGAUGUUACUCUCCUCCUUUCUGCCUGUUCACAGGUAGGAUUGUAAAAUAUAUUUUGGUCUAGCUCACAGGUGCAAUGGUGACUCUCAUACCUCAAACCAUCUAAUAGGAGAGGUGCUGUCUUUUAUAGCUAGGCCUAGGGUAAUGAUUAAGAUCCUCGGUCUCCUUUUUUGUACAAAGUCAUAGGAAAUUACCACUUUCUUGUAUACUAUACACAUCUCUUGUGGUACAGUGAGUGUCAUUCCAGGGUUCAGCACACAGGUGAGAUUGUGGUUCUCAUGUGCACACCCCACCAAUUGUUAGAAUUGUCACCAUAAUACAAUCCACAGUUAAAAUUGUGACUGUCAUAUGUGAACAUCCAGCCAGAGUUGGAAUGAUGAUUUAUUUCUAAAUCCAGUACUUUAGCGGGUGAAAAUUCUAUCUGGACCCAUGAAAAAUUUACCUGGGCUUAGGGCCAGAGUAAACACAGUUUACAGGAGGAAUGAAGGCUCUCAUGUGCCAAUCCAGUUCAUUGGUGAAAUUGUCAGUACUGUACUUAGACCCAACAUAGAAAAUGUGGUGAUUCUCUUACCUAGAACUGGGACCUGUGCGGGAUUGUUAAUUUAUUACUGGACCUUCCUGCGGGAGUGAUUAUCACAUAUGCCUAUGUUCAGCACCUGAGUGAUAUGAUUUUGCUGCCUGGUCCCAGUCUGAAGGCUCCGCAUAUUUGGGUAUUGUGACAUAUUGCUGAACUCAACACCUAAGGGAUGAGAGUCUCCUACCUGUGCCCUUCCUAUAGGGGACAUUGUGACAUGUCUCUGCAUUCCUCACCUAGGAGAUGUGACUCUCAUCUUCUGCUUGCACCCUGCCUACAUGGAAAGCUGUGGCAUAUUGCUGUGGUCAGCAACCAGAUGAUGUGUUUCUCCUGCCUGGGUCUUAAUAAAGACAGGAAAGAUGGUUGACAUAUUACUGGGCCCAGCAUCCAGGUGAUGUUUUGCCUUCAGAUGACAUUGUGACAUCGCUGGGCCCUGCAUUGACAAUUUGUGACUCUUCUGCCUGUGAUUUGCACACUUGGGCCAUUGUGACAUAUUACUGGGUGUGACACUCAGGGGAUGUAAUUUUUAUGCCUGGGCCUUGCCUAUAGGCGGCAUUUUGAAAUGUCUUUGUGGCUGGGUGUGGUGACUCAUGCCUGUAAUCCCAGUACUUUGGGAGGCUGAGGGAAGUGGAUCACAAGGUCAGGAGUACAAGACCAGCCUGCUUAAUAUUGUGAAACCCUGUCUCUACUAAAAAAAGAAAAAUACGAAAAGCAGCCAGCCAUGGUGACUGGUGCCUGUAGUCCCAGCUACUCAAGAGGCUGAGGCAGGAGAAUUGGUUGAAUUCGGGAGGUGGAGGUUGCAGUGAGCCAAAAUCGUGCCACUGCACUCCAGCCUGGGUGAUAGAGUGAGAUUCCAUCUCAAAAAACAAAAACAAAACAAAAAAAAGAAUGAAUGAAUGUCUUUGCACCAAUCCCAAAGGUGAUGUGACUCUCUUGUGUUACCUGGUCUCUGCUCACAGGAAGAAUCGUGACCUUUCACAGCAUAUGGUUGAUUUUUUUCUUUUAUUUCUUACUUUUUCCUGCAGGAAAGAUGGUGAAAUAUUAAUGAACUAAGUACC